GAUGCCUCCCGGCCGCCGUAGGCGAAGGUUCGCGGAAGAGGGGAGCAGGCGCUCACCUGAGGUUCGCCCAAUCCUGGAGCAGUGGGUCCCGGGAGGGAAGAGGGAAGUGGGUCAGGCUCCCGGCCUGUGUUUGUCCAUUCAUUCAUUCAUUGAGGCACGAAUUAAUGUGAUAACCACUUAUUCGUUCAAAAACUGCUGAUUCACCACCCACCAGGUGCCAGGGAGACGGACAAAAUGCACCAAACAAAAUGCACGAAACAGUACCGGAAGCAGUAAUGUCCACGUGUGAUACUUGCCCUGGAGCAAGUAAGGAGGGGACAGGACCAUCUGACUUCGGGGUUGGGCUGCUCUAGGGGUUUGGUGAUAGUCUUAGCUGCCUGUGACCGUCCAUUAGUACUGCCCUGUUCAGGGCAGAUACUGUUCGCUCGCCUCCCAGUAGUUUUUAUAUUG
rnacentral:lncRNA from 1 species